rnacentral:rRNA from 1 species
AGCGAACGCUGGCGGCAGGCCUAACACAUGCAAGUCGAACGAACUCUUCGGAGUUAGUGGCGGACGGGUGAGUAACACGUGGGAACGUGCCUUUAGGUUCGGAAUAACUCAGGGAAACUUGUGCUAAUACCGAAUGUGCCCUUCGGGGGAAAGAUUUAUCGCCUUUAGAGCGGCCCGCGUCUGAUUAGCUAGUUGGUGAGGGAAAGGCUCACCAAGGCGACGAUCAGUAGCUGGUCUGAGGGGAUGAUCAGCCACAUUGGGCCUGAGACACGGCCCAAACUCCUACGGGAGGCAGCAGUGGGGAAUCUUGCGCAAUGGGCGAAAGCCUGACGCAGCCAUGCCGCGUGAAUGAUGAAGGUCUUAGGAUUGUAAAAUUCUUUCACCGGGGACGAUAAUGACGGUACCCGGAGAAGAAGCCCCGGCUAACUUCGUGCCAGCCGCCGCCGUAA